rnacentral:rRNA from 1 species
UACGUAGGGACCUAGCGUUGUCCGGAAUCAUUGGGCGUAAAGCGCGCGUAGGCGGCCCGGUAAGUCCGUUGUAAAAGUCGAAGGCUCAACCUUCGAAAGCCGAUGGAUACUGCCGGGCUAGAGUCCGGAAGAGGCGAGUAGAAUUCCUGGUGUAGCGGUGGAAUGCGCAGAUAUCAGGAGGAAUACCCAUAGCGAAGGCAGCUCGCUGGGACGGUACUGACGCUGAGGCGCGAAAGCGUGGGGAGCGAAC